AGAGUUUGAUCCUGGCUCAGGACGAACGCUGGCGGCGUGCCUAACACAUGCAAGUCGAACGGACGAGGCCCCUUCGGGGACCGAGUUAGUGGCGGACGGGUGAGUAACGCGUGAGCAACCUGCCUUUCAGAGGGGGACAACAGUUGGAAACGACUGCUAAUACCGCAUGAUGCAGCGAGAUCGCAUGGUCUUGCUGUCAAAGAUUUAUCGCUGAAAGAUGGGCUCGCGUCUGAUUAGCUAGUUGGAGGGGUAACGGCCCACCAAGGCGACGAUCAGUAGCCGGACUGAGAGGUUGAACGGCCACAUUGGGACUGAGAUACGGCCCAGACUCCUACGGGAGGCAGCAGUGGGGAAUAUUGGGCAAUGGGGGAAACCCUGACCCAGCAACGCCGCGUGAAGGAAGAAGGCUUUCGGGUUGUAAACUUCUUUUACCAGGGACGAAGAACGUGACGGUACCUGGAGAAAAAGCCACGGCUAACUACGUGCCAGCAGCCGCGGUAAUACGUAGGUGGCAAGCGUUGUCCGGGUUUACUGGGUGUAAAGGGCGUGUAGGCGGAGCUGCAAGUCAGAUGUGAAAUCUGGGGGCUUAACCCUCAAACUGCAUUUGAAACUGUAGCCCUUGAGUAUCGGAGAGGCAGGCGGAAUUCCUAGUGUAGCGGUGAAAUGCGUAGAUAUUAGGAAGAACACCAGUGGCGAAGGCGGCCUGCUGGACGACAACUGACGCUGAGGCGCGAAAGCGUGGGGAGCAAACAGGAUUAGAUACCCUGGUAGUCCACGCUGUAAACGAUGAAUACUAGGUGUGGGGGGACUGACCCCCUCCGUGCCGGAGUUAACACAAUAAGUAUUCCACCUGGGGAGUACGACCGCAAGGUUGAAACUCAAAGGAAUUGACGGGGGCCCGCACAAGCAGUGGAUUAUGUGGUUUAAUUCGACGCAACGCGAAGAACCUUACCGGGAUUUGACAUCCUACUAACGAAGCAGAGAUGCAUUAGGUGCCCUUCGGGGAAAGUAGAGACAGGUGGUGCAUGGUUGUCGUCAGCUCGUGUCGUGAGAUGUUGGGUUAAGUCCCGCAACGAGCGCAACCCCUAUUGUUAGUUGCUACGCAAGAGCACUCUAGCGAGACUGCCGUUGACAAAACGGAGGAAGGCGGGGACGACGUCAAAUCAUCAUGCCCCUUAUGUCCCGGGCUACACACGUAAUACAAUGGCGGUCAACAAAGGGAAGCAAAGCCGCGAGGCAGAGCAAACCCCCAAAAGCCGUCUCAGUUCGGAUUGCAGGCUGCAACUCGCCUGCAUGAAGCUGGAAUUGCUAGUAAUCGUGGAUCAGAAUGCCACGGUGAAUACGUUCCCGGGCCUCGUACACACCGCCCGUCACACCAUGAGAGUCGGGAACACCCGAAGUCCGUAGUCUAACCCGCAAGGGAGGGCGCGGCCGAAGGUGGGUCUGAUAAUUGGGGUGAAGUCGUAACAAGGUA
rnacentral:rRNA from 1 species